rnacentral:tRNA from 1 species
CGGGGCGUGGCGCAGCUUGGUAGCGCGCCUGCUUUGGGAGCAGGAAGUCGGGAGUUCAAAUCUCCCCGCCCCGA